CAGCAGCAGCCGCGGGAAUACGGAGGGGGCUAGCGUUGUUCGGAAUUACUGGGCGUAAAGCGUACGUAGGCGGCUUUGUAAGUUAGAGGUGAAAGCCUGGUGCUCAACACCAGAACUGCCUUUAAGACUGCACCGCUUGAACGUCGGAGAGGUGAGUGGAAUUCCGAGUGUAGAGGUGAAAUUCGUAGAUAUUCGGAAGAACACCAGUGGCGAAGGCGGCUCACUGGACGACUGUUGACGCUGAGGUACGAAAGCGUGGGGAGCAAACAGGAUUAGAUACCCGUGUAGUCCCUGUCUCUUAUAC
rnacentral:rRNA from 1 species